rnacentral:rRNA from 1 species
UGGGGAAUUUUGGACAAUGGGGGCAACCCUGAUCCAGCCAUGCCGCGUGAGUGAAGAAGGCCUUCGGGUUGUAAAGCUCUUUCGGACGGAACGAAAUGGUCAGGGUGAAUAUCCCUGACUGAUGACGGUACUGUAAGAAGAAGCACCGGCUAACUACGUGCCAGCAGCCGCGGUAAUACGUAGGGUGCGAGCGUUAAUCGGAAUUACUGGGCAUAAAGCGCGCGUAGGCGGCUGGGUCCGUCCGAUGUGAAAGCCCCCGGCUCAACCGGGGAAUGGCAUCGGAUACAGCCCGGCUUGAGGACGGUUGGGGUGAGUGGAACUCCUGGUGGAGCGGUGAAAUGCGUAGAUAUCAGGAGGAACACCGGUGGCGAAAGCGGCUCACUGGACCGUUACUGACGCUGAGGUGCGAAAGCUAGGGGAGCAAACGGGAUUAGAUACCCAUGUAGUCCCUGAGCGGGCUGGCAAGGCGCAU